AUGAGACUCUUGGGUCUUCUCCUUUGCCUGGUGACAGCUCCCCAAGGUGCCCUGUCCCAGGCAGAGCUGCAGGAGUCAGGCCCAGCACUGGUGAAGAUGUCACAGAACUUCUCCCUCACCUGCACUGUCUCCGGAUCCUCCAUCACAACCAGUGAUUACUACUAUGACUGGAUCCGCGAGAACCCAGGAAAGGAGCUGGAGUGGAUAGGACACAUCAGUUAUAGCGGUAGCACAACAUAUAACCCAUCCCUCAAGAGUCGCAUCUCCAUCUCUAGAGACACGUCCAAGAACCAGUUCUUCCUGCAGCUGAGUUCUGCGACCACCGAGGACACGGGCCUGUAUUACUGUGCAAGAGACACAGUGAGGGGAACCUCUGGAUUCACCUUCAGCAGCUAUGGCAUGAGCUGGCUCCGCCAGGCUCCAGGGAAGGGGCUGGAGUGGCUCUCAGUUAUUAAUUAUGAUGGUAGUAGCACAUACUACGCUGACUCCGUGAAGGGCCGAUUCACCAUCUCCAGAGACAACUCCAAGAACACGCUUUAUCUGCAAAUGAACAGCCUGAGAACCUAG